GACGAACGCUGGCGGCGUGCUUAACACAUGCAAGUCGAGCGGUAAGGCCCUUUCGGGGGUACACGAGCGGCGAACGGGUGAGUAACACGUGGGUGACCUGCCCUCAGCUCUGGGAUAAGCCUGGGAAACCGGGUCUAAUACUGGAUAUGACUCCAUGACGCAUGUUGUGGGGUGGAAAGCCUUGUGCGGCUGAGGAUGGGCCCGCGGCCUAUCAGCUUGUUGGUGGGGUAACGGCCUACCAAGGUGA
rnacentral:rRNA from 1 species